rnacentral:rRNA from 1 species
GCAAGUCGAGCGGAACGAACAUGAUCUUUGGAUGAUUUAUGGGGCGUCGAGCGGCGGACGGGUGAGUAAUGCCUAGGAACCUGCCUUGUUGUGGGGGACAACCUUGGAAACGCUGGCUAAUACCGCAGAAUGCCUACGGGGGAAAGAAGGGGAUCUUAGGCCCUUUUGCGACAAGAUGUGCCUGCGUGGGAUUAGCUAGUUGGUGGGUAAUGGCUCACCAAGGCGACGAUCCCUAGCUGGUCUGAGAGGAUGAUC